CCUCAUCCACCAAAUCUCUUAGGAAAGAAAGAGUUGUAGUGCUGAAACUCCACAGAAACAGCAAGUCCAGGCAGUGGAAGCAUUCUGGUUACAAAUGAAACAUCCACAUGGAACAGGAGUGCAGUCAGCGUUAAAGGCUGGAGUGUUAAAGGGAGCCUAGAAAACAAGAGGUGCAAAGAAAUGACUUGAUCCAUUCCGUUUCGCAUGCUGGUUUGCAAUUGUCUUCCCAGCAACAGCUCUUCACUUCAGCAAGCAGCAGUUGCUUCCACAUUCCAGUUUCUUUCAGCAGUCUCAGAACCAGCCCCCACUAGGUUUCAGUGUCAGCUGAAAGGGAGGCUUUACUCAGAGGUCUGAGUUACAGCUCCUCCUCUGAGCUCUCAGGUGCCAGUCCAAUGGAUGCACUCUGUCUUGCAAGGUAUAGUUCCUAGAUUAUCAGGGACCCCUCCUCUAGGCUUCUAGGUUCUUAUCAUCCUAAUAUCUUUAUGUUGGCUCCUGGUCAUAAUGGUGGUAGCUGUUUCCUAGAGUUAUUCUCUCUGUGUUAACUUGGUGUUUCAGGGCAGCUUUUUAGUCCUCCAAUGCCUGUUCAACCAGUUCCCUACCUUAAAUUCUCUCUGAAAAAUAACUUGUUUUUUGUGUUCCUGGAAGGACUCUGCUUGUUUUUGGGGGUCUGCAUUAUCUAGUUUGGGUUUCUACCAGAGUAGCCCGAAAUGUCUUCCCUGCAGUGUGAAUGGUUACAUUGAGUUUCUUAAGUUCCCUCACCUCUAGGUAUCUUUAUGUUAAAUUUGGUCAUUGCUUCUCCACAUGGAUAGAGCAUAUCCAGCCUGACUCAAGGUUGCACCCUGCUGGUUGAAAAUAGAUAGCUGGUAGACGAGGUAAAAAGAGGCUAUCCUGACAGAGCUCAGUUGCCAAAGUGUUUGGAUAAAAUCAGUUCUUGAACCAAUACUCUACGCCUUACAUCAAUGACCUUACUCAAACUUUUUGUCAUUUGGUUUUGUGACACUUUCAUCCCCUAUACCUCAUUUGUAAAUUAAUUUUAAUUUUUUUUUUUUUUUUUUU